rnacentral:rRNA from 1 species
UACGUAGGGGGCGAGCGUUGUCCGGAUUCAUUGGGCGUAAAGCGCGCGUAGGCGGCUUCGCAAGUCGGCCGUGAAAUCUCCGGGCUCAACUCGGAGGGGUCGGGCGAGACUGCGAGGCUCGAGGUGGGCAGAGGGCAGUGGAAUUCCGGGUGUAGUGGUGGAAUGCGUAGAGAUCCGGAGGAACACCGAAGGCGAAGGCAGUGUCCUGGCGAGUGACUGACGCUGAGGUGCGAAAGCCAGGGGAGCGAACGGG